GAUGAACGCUAGCGGCAGGCCUAAUACAUGCAAGUCGGACGGGAUUCAGGAGCUUGCUUCUGAUGAGAGUGGCGCACGGGUACGUAACACGUAUGUAACCUACCUUUAUCAGGGGGAUAGCCUCUCGAAAGAGAGAUUAAGCCCGCAUAAAAUCACAGCACAGCAUUGUGUAAUGAUCAAAUAUUUAUAGGAUAAAGAUGGGCAUGCGGAACAUUAGCUAGAUGGCGGGGUAACGGCCCACCAUGGCGACGAUGUUUAGGGGAUCUGAGAGGAUGGCCCCCCACACUGGUACUGAGACACGGACCAGACUCCUACGGGAGGCAGCAGUAAGGAAUAUUGGUCAAUGGGCGGAAGCCUGAACCAGCCAUGCCGCGUGCAGGAAGACGGCCCUACGGGUUGUAAACUGCUUUUAUACGGGAAUAAACCCAGAUACGUGUAUCUGGCUGAAUGUACUGUAAGAAUAAGGAUCGGCUAACUCCGUG
rnacentral:rRNA from 1 species